AGACAGAACCGGUCGCAUUUGCCGUGGCGGAGCACUCAGCGGGUGGCGCAGGUCACAGAAACUGUGGCGGACAAUAUCCGACUCAUCCUGAGCUAUCCAGGUCGGAGGGAUGUUUACCAUGAUACCAACAGAAGGAAACGGGGAGUAAACGCGUCAGCUGGAAUCCCCUUUUCGGUUGUUUUUUUUUGUCUUUAUGCCCGUUCUAUUUUUCUAUCAUUUUUAUUUUUGAUGUUGCGGACAAAAGAACAUCCCAAAGCAAUAUACUUUCCUCUUACUUAAACUGAGCUUCCCCUUCACUUUCCCUCCCGUUAUUCAUCCAAAUCUCCCCGCGUAACGAACUGAUGGACAUGUCGUGGAAAGUGGGGCUUGUGCUGGUGAUGUGCUGGAGUCUCACGAGUAGCGAAACGCACGAGGAGCGACGGGAUUCCUCUCAACGCACCGCGAUGCUCAGAGCGCCCGUGGAAACGUUGGACUUUGGCUUCGUGCCGUCGGUGGUGUACGAAACGCACGCGUAUUAUGAACCAGGUGCCAUUGGUAUUCUUUUCCACAUGGUCCACGCGUUUUUGUACGUUGUUCAACCCAACCCUUUCCCUAAAGAUCUUAUUGUUAAGGUUAUCCAGCAGAACAUGGGAGGAAUCAAAGUGGAGGACUACAAGAAGCCAGAGAAUGUUGUAUUGUUGCUACAGGCUAUUUACUAUGAGCUUGGCUUCUUAGUCUUGACAGUUCUGGGGGUGUUGUUUGUGUUGCUGAUGCCGAUGGUGGGUCUGUGUUUCUGUGUGUGCCGCUGCUUUGAGAACUGUGGUGGGGAGAUGCAUCAGAGACAGAAGAAGAAUGCUGACUGCCAACGAGGCUUCUACAUGACCACACUCAUCGCUACCUCUAUAUUCCUCGGAGCGGGAGUGGUGAUCGCCUACGCAGCAAACCAGAACAUUACAUCUCAAAUCAAGAGCACGAGACGUCUCGUCAGCACCAACAUAAGAGACCUGAAAUCAUUUGCCAACUACACACCAGCACAAAUCGACUACCUUGCUGCACAGUACACAACAGCCAAGAACAAAGUUCUAUCAGACUUAGACAAUAUCGGGCCUCUUCUGGGAGGAAGGGUUCAUAACCAGUUGGAGAGGGAGGUGAUACCAGCUUUAGACAAUGCUCUUCGCAUGACUGGAGCUAUGCGAGAGACUAAAGAGGCACUGGAGAGUGUGACCACAUCACUGGAGACCCUGCAGGACGGGACAGGCAAACUCCAGCACUCUCUCCAGUCUGAACGUGCCUCUCUAUCAAACACGCUCAACGACCCAGCCUGCUCUAAUGGAGAUGUAACGCACACCUGCAACACCAUCCGUGGAACACUCAGCCAGCUCGCUCUCAGCGCAAACUUUAAUGGGUUGCCCGAUGUUGGGGCCCAGCUGGCCAACUUGGAUGCUGUUCUUAAAACAGACCUCAGCAGUAUUGUACAGAAGGGCUACUCUUCAUUCAAUGACACACCAAGGUUGGUCAGCAAACAGACAAAAGAAAUUGUGUCUGGAGUUAAGGGGUUGCUGGAUAAGUCAGGUGGAGAGAUAACUGGUUUCACAAAGAUGUUCCCUGUGGAACCAGCACUUGAGAACUUCACAAAGUUCCUGACAGAAAGCCAGAAGAACAUUGAAGCGUUCUACCCCCAGAUUGACCAGAUGGACUUCUACAGAUGGAUAGGGUGUGUGGUGAUAUGCUGUACAGUCGUGCUGAUUUUGGCCUUUAAUUUCCUGGGGCUAUUGUGUGGAUCAUGCGGCUAUGAUAAAAAUGCCACACCCACCACUCGUGGCUGUCUUUCUAACACUGGAGGAAACCUGCUGAUGGCAUCUGCUGGCUUCAGCUUCAUCUUCUCCUGGGUGCUCAUGGGUGUUGUAGUCACCACAUUUGUUGUCGGAGGAAAUGUUGAGAAGCUUUUGUGUGAGCCACUGGCUAACAGACAGCUGUUUAAGAUCAUUGACACACCAUAUAUGGUCCAUCCUACCAAAAAGAACUUCCUUGCUGGCAUGCUAUUUCAAGAUCCAAACAUCGACCUUACCAUCGGCAGUAUGUACCGAGACUGUUAUGAGAAUAAUGGCUUAUAUUCAGCGCUACAACUAGAGACCAAGUUCAACUUCAACAGGUUUCUCAAUGUCACAGUGUAUAACCAUGAAUUGGCCAAGAUAUUUAAUAGUGUGAGUGUGGAUCUCCAUGGAAUAAUUCUUCUGGAACAGGAAGGCAAAGAUAACCUCAUCAACUUCGCCAACACAGGCAUUGGGGAAAUUGACUAUCAGGCUUAUUUAUCAGAGGUGAAUAAAGGAGUGACAGUUGUGGAUCUUCUGUCCUUUGCUAAUGAACUUGAGGCUCAAGCAGACCAGCUGCCACGUGGUGCUCUUGAGAAUGCGCUUAAGGGUCAUGCCAGCAGUAUCAGGCAAAUCCACAAAGAACAAGUGGUGCCAAUGGAGCAGGCUAUGAGCACUCUGAGUCAGAGCAUCAGACUGCUUCAGAAAUCAUCCAAAGAACUUCCUAUUAAAGUGACAAACGUCCUGAGUGCCAUUGAGGCGGCAGAGUAUCUCAUCACCAACAAUGCUUCACAUGUGGUCAAACAGGAGGCUAAUAAAUUCAUUAAGAGCAUUGUGGGAUAUUUUACACAAUACACAGAGUGGGUCAAGCACUCGCUAGAUAUGGAGGUUGCCCAGUGCAAACCCAUCAGCAACAUUGUGGACUCGCUGGAGAUUGUAGCCUGCAGCUUCAUAGUUGACUCAGUGAACACAUUCUGGUUUGGUCUGGGAGGAUGCUGUCUGUUCCUCAUCCCCGGCAUCAUCCUCUCGGUAAAACUCGCCAAAUUCUACCGUAGGAUGGACACUGAGGACGUCUACGAUGACUAUCCAUCUUAUGACACAAUGAGGUGGUACCCUCGGGCCUCUGCCCCCCCAAGACAACCUGACUGGUGAAACAAAUUCACACACACUUUCACACAGGGUAUGCAACCCUAGAUGCAUCCUAGAGUGGUGCAGAGAACUGGAGCUAAAGGGACAAGCCAGGAGAACAUCUGUGAUAUUUCGGAUUCCGAAAAGUGAACAAAAAAUUAAGAAAGUUAAAAAGGGAAUAUAAUCAUUGAAAAUGACAUUUGAAACAGUUUAUUCCAGUUUCUUACAAUAGAACAUACUCAGACCUUAAAGGGAUAGUUCACCUAAAAAUGAA